GACGAACGCUGGCGGCGUGCUUAACACAUGCCAGUCGAACGGAAAGGCCCUGCUUUUGUGGGGUGCUCGAGUGGCGAACGGGUGAGUAACACGUGAGUAACCUGCCCUUGACUUUGGGAUAACUUCAGGAAACUGGGGCUAAUACCGGAUAGGAUCUCCUGCUGCAUGGUGUGGGUUGGUAAGUUUCGGCGGUUGGGGAUGGACUCGCGGCUUAUCAGCUUGUUGGUGGGGUAGUGGCUUACCAAGGCUUUGACGGGUAGCCGGCCUGAGAGGGUGACCGGGGAAAUUGGGAAUGAGAGAGGGCCCAGAAUGCAACGGGAGGCAGCAGUGGGGAAUAGUGAACAAUGGGCGGAAGCCAGAUGAAGAAAGGCGGGGUGCGGGAUGACGGCCUUGGGGUUGUAAACAGAUUUGGACUGUGACGAAGCGUGAGUGACGGUAAUGGGUAAAGAAGCACCGGCUAACUACGUG
rnacentral:rRNA from 1 species